UUGGCUGUGUGAUGCCAGCUUCUCUGCUCCUCCUGACCUGCUUGGCUGUGGGAUGAGCACAGGCUUGGAAUGUGUGAACCAUUGCAGGGGCAGGCAGUCUUGGGGGGACUCCAUGUCUGCAGCAUUUGAAUGCUUUGAAUUCCUGAAUGAAGGAAAAGGAAAGCUGAACCUCAGCCUGGUUCUGCAAUGGCUCAGAAGCUGGAGAAGGGACAAGCUUCAUCUCAUUUUUAGUGUUUUUAAUAUUGCAAAGUAGUGAGUUCUUAACCUCUUAAUGCUUAAUGAAAUUUUAUUGUCUAACAUAUUUUUUUUUUUUAUUUUAAGUAAUAAUUGAAUAAAUCCCCACUGGUACUUAAAGCACCUUCUAAACAGACUUCAGCAAAGCUCCUUGGUGGUACUGAGCAAUAACUGUCCCAGUGCUUGGAAGGUGGAACACGUUAAAGCAGCACCUAUGUCAGCUUCAGUGUGAUUGCAGAAAGCCUGGUGAGAUACUUGCUCUCCUCAGGAUGUCCUCACCCCAUGCUGUGACAGAGGAAUCAUUGAAAGUUAAAGGAAAACCCACUAUUCAUUAAUUUUUCCCAAGGGAUGAGCAAUUGUAAAGCAAACAAGCAGAGGAAGUUUGACAUUGGGUGAUAACAGGACAAUGUGAAAAAGCAAGGUCCUGGAGAGCACUGUCUAUGCUGCCACCCGCUGCCACAAGCAAAGGGACACACAGUCAUUGUCAGAGCCCACACAGUGUACAGGAAGAAAUCUUCCCUUGGCUUUGGUGUUUCAUUGCUGGGCUGAGAAAGGCUGGUCCUGGGGAUUUUGUUCUCUUCAUCAGUGUGCUGAGUAGUGCUGGGAAGAACCUGCUUUUAUAUGAAUGAAUAUGUGCCCCUGACAGGAUGAGUCCUGAGAUGCAGAAGUUGUCUCAUUCUUUCAGUGAGUCCCACUGCUGCUACAGACCUUAGUUUGGAUGAUCACAUGUUAUUUGACUGAGGCACACAUCUCCCAGGGAAGGUUUCUGUCACCAGGACCAUCAGUUUGCCUUCAAUCACAUCUUGAGUCUGCCCAAUAAAGUGUCAUGCUGGUAUGUCAGCGGGGCAGAGACCUCACACUGUGCCACAAGCUUUGAAACAUAAGCAGUACAUUCUGUGCCCCAAGAACAAGCUCCAGCAUAAACUGUCUCCUGACACUGGGGCAUUCAUGGAUGUGUAGGCAGGUAGCCGAUGCUCCCACUAUAAGAGAUGGUCCUGCUCUGAUUUUGUGGACACUAACGAUGUAAUGGCAGGAGUGGUGGCCCCAUCCUCCACAGCCCUUCCUAUCUCCAGCAGUCACAACAGAGUGAAGCAGAAUUGAUCUGAAAGCUUUCUGAUCUGAAACUGAUCUGAAAGUGAUCUCAUGCAGAAUGAGUUGAAAGGUAUCAAUGGUAACAAACACUAAGAAAGAAAUCAAGAUGUCAUUUUUUUUCCAGGCUUCCUGUCAAAUAAGUUAAAACAUCUCCACCCCUGAAUUUCUGCCACAUUGGAAAAGUUCCCUAAAUAUAACUGGGAGAAGCUGCUUUGGACAUUGGUGGUUAUUCCCAUGUGUUGUGUCUAAACUUGUCUCUUGUGCUUGGUAAUCAACCAAAAGCGUUUGGUUUUGGCUUUGAAGCCUAAUGUCAUUUAGGAGGCUUUUUUUUUCAGCAACAGUAAGGUGCUUUAGUGAAAAUAUUUUGUUUGAAAUAGGAGCUAAUGCUUGGAGAUCUUGGUGCAGCAAGUUCAAUAUAAAGAUGAAUUUCACUGGGUUUCAUGCAAGAUUUAAGUGUAGUAAUGUUUCAUGUAGGAGUGGUUGGAAAGGUGGCUGCAGACAACUUGACCUGACAGCUCAAAGCUUAUGUUGGUGUUCUGUUCCAAAAGUGCUACUAGUGGGUCCUGUUUGUUCCACGCAGUACACACUGUUAUUUCCAGCAUGUAUUUGAGAUGAAAUCAUUUUCUGUUCAAAAGAGCACAAUCCUUUCCUCCUUGGAGAUAACCCAUCAGUUUAAAUUCUCUCAGUGGUGACUUGCAAGCAAACUGCCAAAGCAUUAAAGCACGUUGUUUUGUUGGUUUG